UACAGAGGGUGCAAGCGUUAAUCGGAAUUACUGGGCGUAAAGCGUGCGUAGACGGUUACAUAAGUCGGGUGUGAAAGCCCCGGGCUCAACCUGGGAAUUGCAUUCGAGACUGCGUAGCUAGAGUCCGGAAGAGGAGAGUGGAAUUCCUGGUGUAGCGGUGAAAUGCGCAGAUAUCAGGAGGAACACCGGUGGCGAAGGCGGGUCUCUAGGCCGAUACUGACGCUGAGGAGCGAAAGCGUGGGGAGCGAACAGG
rnacentral:rRNA from 1 species